GAGGUAAAGCGAAUGAUUAGAGGUAUUGGGGUUGAAAUGACCUUAACCUAUUCUCAAACUUUAAAUAUGUAAGAAGUCCUUGUUACUUAAUUGAACGUGGACAUUUGAAUGAAGAGCUUUUAGUGGGCCAUUUUUGGUAAGCAGAACUGGCGAUGCGGGAUGAACCGAACGCGAGGUUAAGGUGCCGGAAUACACGCUCAUCAGACACCACAAAAGGUGUUAGUUCAUCUAGACAGCCGGACGGUGGCCAUGGAAGUCGGAACCCGCUAAGGAGUGUGUAACAACUC
rnacentral:rRNA from 14 species